rnacentral:rRNA from 1 species
UACGUAGGGUGCAGGCGUUAAUCGGAAUUACUGGGCGUAAAGCGUGCGCAGGCGGUUUGCUAAGACAGGUGUGAAAUCCCCGGGCUUAACCUGGGAAUGGCAUUGGUGACUGCACGGCUAGAGUGUGUCAGAGGGGGGUAGAAUUCCACGUGUAGCAGUGAAAUGCGUAGAGAUGUGGAGGAACACCCAUAGCGAAGGCAGCUUGCUGGGACGUUACUGACGCUAAGGCGCGAAA